GGGGGUGAAUAGGUUCGACAGGGGAUCCUUGUCUGAGAGGGAGCAUGCAGAGGUUGUCGGGAGGCCUCUUACCCCGCAAGGGGGACGUGGAAACACGGAAAAACCUGACACAAUAUAAAUGCUGACAACAUCAGCUGGAGUGAAAGAGCAGUCGGACCCAUCGCGGGCCCGGUGCCUUUCGCUCUUCCUAUCGCUGCUUAAUUGACAGCGACGUUAUGCGGCCGAUAUCUGCUGAGCCUGCAUAGCGACAUUUAGCAGAUUGCCUCAUCAACCCGGCUACGGGGUUGAUGACAAGCCCAUGUAGCUCGUUCGGCGAAAUCCCGUUUACAGGAGUUUGCCGGAUAAAAUCAAAUUGUGAACUGAGCAUGGAGACCCUUCUCACUCAAAUUUCCUGGACGAGGGUGCAAUUCCCUCCACCUCCACCA
rnacentral:tmRNA from 1 species